UACGUAGGUGGCAAGCGUUGUCCGGAUUUACUGGGCGUAAAGAGCGCGCAGGCGGCUGGGUAAGUCCGAUGUGAAAGCUUCCGGCUUAACUGGAAAAUUGCAUCGGAAACUGCUCGGCUUGAAGGUGGGAGAGGGUAGCGGAAUUCCAGGUGUAGCGGUGAAAUGCGUAGAUAUCUGGAGGAACACCGGUGGCGAAGGCGGCAUCCUGGACCGGCAUUGACGCUGAGGAGCGAAAGCCAGGGGAGCAAACGGG
rnacentral:rRNA from 1 species